ACACACACACACACACACACACACAUGCGCUGGAGAGAGAGAGCGAGAGAGCGAGAGAGAGGAGAGGCAGUCGGAAAGCAGGUCUGGGUGCCAGCGCACAUAAAGCGAGUGUUUUCACUCGAGAAAUAAAAAGGCCUGGGUUUUUCUGCGCCGCUGGUGGAAUCUGCACAUUUCAUUGAAACAGCACAACAAGCGCCGGUGAAGUUUCCCAGACUGCAUCUGGGCCGCUGCGAACAUCUGCCGUUUGUUUGGGUUUGGACGUGCGUGUUUGCGGAUCAACUGUAAAAUCAUAUUUCCGAGGUUCUGUGUAAUUUUCAAAUUAUUCUAUGUUGGGGAUGAGAAGGAAAAUGACGAACGGAUGCAGAACGAAGCUCUAAAAAUAGAUUUUAGAAAAUGCAUUCGCUGGGUAGGUUUUUGACUUUUUUUCCUUCUUAAAAAUGUAAUAAAAUUAAAUUAAAUAAUAUUUAAGAUUCACAUAUUUUGAGUUACAUAUAAAAUUCCCAUUCAUUUUGAUUACACAGUUUUAACACACAAACUAAUACUAAUGUGAUACAUAUUUGUCAGUCAUAUAUAAAUGAAACCAUGGCAAAAAAAAAAAAAAUCACGGCAUAGUUUCUUAUUAACUAGUUGCAUCUAUUUGAUUAUUUUAAAAUGCAUUCAUCCAAAUGGUUGGGAAUCAGCAUAAAUCUGUUCAUUGUGAAAAUAAUUACAUUUAUUCAGUAUGAACAUGGUUAAAAUAUGGCUAUAGUGACAGUAUUAAAUUAGUUGAAAUGUAUAGAGAUUGACACAAAGAAAUAUAUAAACCUGCUUAUUGUGUAUUUAAAACCCAUACUAUUACAUAAAUCCUGUAUGAUUGACAAAUAUGCAUCACAUUAAGUUUAUUAGUUUGCUAAAGCUGUGUAAUCCAAAUAGAUGGAAACUGCACAUGCAAUCCAACUAUAAAUCUUAAAAGGAUAGUUUCCCCAAAAAUAAAAAAAUGUAUGUCGUUCCAAACCUGUACGAGUUUCUUUUUUCUGUCGAACACAAGAGAAGAUGUUUUGAAGAGUGAGUUUAACCCAAACAGUUGACGGUAGCCAUUGACUUUCAUAGUAUUUUUAUUGGACCAGCAACUGUUCUUCAAAUGACCUGUUUGGAACAACUCGAGGGUGAGUAAUACUGACAGAAUUUUUGGGUGAACUAUCCCUUUAAAUCCAGGCCUGAAUAUGUCCAAAAACAAACAAAACAAAGUCUUUCCCAACACUGCAGGAGUGGAUGAGUCCAUUGCUAUUUUGAAAUGCAAUCCACCUCAUGCUCAAAAACAAACACGUCUUUCUGAAUGAAAUCACAUGUUGUUUGCAGCUGUUGAACAGUAUGUUUUCGGGUAACACCCCGUUCGUUGCUGCUACCAGAUGACCUCAAUGUUGAUCGAUUGCCAGCGUUUAGAGUGUGGCGGUACUUUCAGAAAGAGGUGGCUUCUGGGUAAUGCUCAUCAGCCAACUCCAUGUUGUGACGUUCAGGUGUGUGGAGUUUAUUUCAUGCUGCUGGAUUCGGUUCGGGAACACUCACAUCGCACUUCAUUUUUCUGCCCGAGUUGAAGUGUCAAUGAUGCUUGAAGAUUUAUAAGCUUGUUUUGUUCGUCCUCCAAAGUCCUCGCGCUUUGUUUACUUGUACUCUUCGUUAUCUGUCUUGGAUUAUUCAUGCAGAGCAGCUCCAAAGCUUCCAGGAAUCCUUUCAACGAAUUAUAUAACAGCAUGUCAAAAGCUGGCUUUUGGGAAAUCUUGGUGAGAAGCGGUGAAGAAAGUUUCCUAGUCAAAAAAAAACAGCAAGCAUACAGUAUCCGUGACAAGAGCAGCUUCAUUUGUACUGUUCUGCUAUCAGACGAAUGCAUUCCACAUUGAGAGGGAGUUUCUGCAUUCCCAGACGAGAGCUGAUGUUUCACAGUCGUCCAGUUCUUCUUGAAUGGAUAGAUGGAAGAACUAAUAAAUCUCGGCGCUCAUGUUCGGCUGAUGAAUGAUCGUCUCGCGGAGCGCCAGAGGACGAGAGCUGCAGAAUCCCCUGAGCAGCUGCUCUGAAAGAUCAAGAAGAUACUGGAGGAUACUGAGCAUCAGCAGACGUCUAAUUCUCUGACGAGCGUCUAGACAGCUGCAGGAGCCGAGUAACACACCCAGCUCAGUCGGGAGGCUCAGUUAAUCGCUUGUUUUGGCAUGACGAGGACUUAGAGCCGGAGCUGAGGGGAGAGAGCUCAGAAAACUGCUAGAUCCUGUGGGUCUGUGCUGAACGCUCACUCUUCACAGUCAGAGAGUCAAUACAGUCAUUGCUUUUCAAGUAAUGCCGCUCUGUUUGGACGGUUUUGGUUCUUGGGUUGUUAUUAAGCAGAUGAAACUCCCAGCGCUGACACGUGAUUGGCUGUCCUCUGUCCUCUCCUCCUCCUCUUCUUUGAUUGGACUGGUAUGUUCCCUGUGGGGGACAUUAAUGAAUCAUCAUAAGACAUCAAUAAUUGACAGAAGCACAGAUUCCAGAUGUUUGCUGAGUGGAUGAGGUCAGUGAGGAUGUGCAUGUCAUGACAUGCGGUCGCAUAAUGCUGUCAAACAUUAACCAGCAAUAAGUGCAUCAAUGCAUCUCAGUGGCACAAACACACAUGUAGCAAAGGCUACAAAAUAUAACAAUUUUGUAUCUUUUUGUAUUUACUCCCUCAUGUUGUUUCUUUGAAGAACACAAAAAGAUACAUUUUAGCAAUCAUCUUAAUCUCCGAGCUGCUGUUGUCAUAAAAUGAAAGCAGAGAAAGCAGUCUUAAAUUCAGCGUGAUCAACUUUAAGGUCAUAAAAUUUUAAAUGGUAUAAUACAAGUCUUAGUGAUCAUUUUAAGAUGUCUUAAGUUUGGGAAUGGAAAAAAACAGUAAUCUUGAUAUGGCCUAAUGUGACCCUUAAACUUCAGAAGUAGUGUUUAAUGAAAUAAAUGUGAGCUCUGCGUGUUCAAAGUAUAAAGCUGGCGCUGUUCUUUUGGCUCGCCGUUUCUGAGCAGUUCGCUUUUAUGUAUGCCAGAGUGAUUGCUUAUGAUCUACUCCUGAUGAAUUUUGACAGUGUUUAGCGUAUGGUUUUUAUAUUAUAUAUGUUAUUUUAAAUAACAGUUUUAUCUGCCUCAUUUGUUUUAAUAAUCAGCUAAAAAUAAUAGAGCAAAGACAUUUCAAAAUAAGAGUCAACUCAUUCGUAUAUUAGUACAUUUUCAGUACAUAAGCCUAUAUAAACCAAUUUCAAUACUGUAUCGAAUAAACGUGCCUUGGGUAUCUUAAACCUGCUUUGCUAAUAAGCAACAGUAAGUCCUCAUUAAAUGUGUGCACCAACCUGUUUAAUUCAGUAAAAUAAUCUGAGAGACACAAAUUUGAUCUGUGAUGGUAAACCGUUAAUGACAGAAUUAUUUUGUCUGUGCGUGUCUCUUUAAGACGGAAGCUGUAUGAUUCUAAUCGUGUCGGUGUAUGUGAUGGAUUGAGUCUAACAGAUUGAGGCGGUCGACUGAUUCAGGGGAGGACGUCUGUGGAGAGACUCUUCAUGAAUAGACACUUUGACAGAUGUCCCAUUUCCCCUGCCUUUCAGUAAGCACUAGAAAUUUUCAGACAUCUCCAGAAAUAAUAACCAAAUGAGCGUUCCCUCUGGACUUUUCUACCUUUCAACACAUCACUGUCGUUUCUGCCAAAUGCUUAUGGCAGAUAUGCAUAUGCCAUAUGUGCCAUGUGUGGACUCUGAUCAAAUAUUCUAGACACACCAGAUGUUAGACCUAAUCUGUAAAAAUCACAGUGUACACUCCUCUGUAGUUAGGCCUGUGUUGUAAUUGUUGCAGAGAUUAUUUGGCAUUGUGAAAACAGGUCACCUGACCCUGGUAAGUAAAUGCACCUUUUAAGAAUCAAUUUGUCAAUUAUCAUUGGAAGUCUUUCUUUUGAAACUUGCGCAGCCUUUGAAUACAUGGGGCCAAGUGUCUCCUUCACAAGAGAAUUAAAAGGUCAGAAAGUGUGCCAGACUUCUUCUCUCAAGCUGGCUAGAAAAUGAUGUGCAGUUAUACCCUGUAAUAAUAAUCUAAAAUUAGAUGAUAAUGAAAUAAAAACUCUUUUUGAAUGACAAAAAUCUAUUGACAUUUUCGUCAACGAAUAAAAACGAGACGAAAAUGUUAAGGAGGGCGCAAUGUUACGCUCUGAUCAUACGUUUGCCUACGCUUGCUGCACAAUUCGAAUUUUGUACAUAAAUAUUAUCAAUAUUCGAAUUAUAUUCUAAUUUAAAAGGCAUAAUUUCAGUUAGAGGGAAAAAAAGCUUUUGGCUUCUCUCUUGAGGCCACAAGAGGGCGCAUCGAGCAAAAUAUUACUAAUGCACGUUUCUUCAAAGCAAUAAAAUAACACGACUAUCUUUGAAAAAAGUGCAUAAUGUUUAAAAUAAUGUUUAUUAACCAUAUAGAAUUAAUUAAGUUGCUUAAACAU